UACGUAGGGUGCAAGCGUUGUCCGGAAUUACUGGGCGUAAAGAGCUCGUAGGUGGUUUGUCGCGUCGUCUGUGAAAGCCCGGGGCUUAACUCCGGGUCUGCAGGCGAUACGGGCAUAACUAGAGUGCUGUAGGGGAGACUGGAAUUCCUGGUGUAAGCGGUGAAAUGCGCAGAUAAUCAGGAGGAACACCGAUGGCGAAGGCCAGGUCUCUGGCAGUAACUGACGCUGAGGAGCGAA
rnacentral:rRNA from 1 species